GACGAGGUGGAGCAAAUCUCAAAAAGACCGUCCCAGUUCGGAUCGCAGGCUGCAACCCGCCUGUGUGAAGUUGGAAUCGCUAGUAAUCGCGGAUCAGCAUGCCGCGGUGAAUACGUUCCCGGGCCUUGUACACACCGCCCGUCACACCAUGAGAGUCGGGAACACCCGAAGCCGGUGGCCCGAUCGAAAGAAGGGAGCCGUCGAAGGCAGGCCGGAUGACUGGGGUGAAGUCGUAACAAGGUAUC
rnacentral:rRNA from 1 species